rnacentral:rRNA from 1 species
CAUAGGUUAAUGAGGCGAACCGGGGGAACUGAAACAUCUAAGUACCCCGAGGAAAAGAAAUCAACCGAGAUUCCCCCAGUAGCGGCGAGCGAACGGGGAGCAGCCCAGAGCCUGAAUCAGUAUGUGUGUUAGUGGAAGCGUCUGGAAAGGCGCGCGAUACAGGGUGACAGCCCCGUACACAAAAAUGCACAUGCUGUGAGCUCGAUGAGUAGGGCGGGACACGUGGUAUCCUGUCUGAAUAUGGGGGGACCAUCCUCCAAGGCUAAAUACUCCUGACUGACCGAUAGUGAACCAGUACCGUGAGGGAAAGGCGAAAAGAACCCCGGCGAGGGGAGUGAAAAAGAACCUGAAACCGUGUACGUACAAGCAGUGGGAGCACGCUUAGGCGUGUGACUGCGUACCUUUUGUAUAAUGGGUCAGCGACUUAUAUUCUGUAGCAAGGUUAACCGAAUAGGGGAGCCGAAGGGAAACCGAGUCUUAACUGGGCGUUAAGUUGCAGGGUAUAGACCCGAAACCCGGUGAUCUAGCCAUGGGCAGGUUGAAGGUUGGGUAACACUAACUGGAGGACCGAACCGACUAAUGUUGAAAAAUUAGCGGAUGACUUGUGGCUGGGGGUGAAAGGCCAAUCAAACCGGGAGAUAGCUGGUUCUCCCCGAAAGCUAUUUAGGUAGCGCCUCGUGAAUUCAUCUCCGGGGGUAGAGCACUGUUUCGGCAAGGGGGUCAUCCCGACUUACCAACCCGAUGCAAACUGCGAAUACCGGAGAAUGUUAUCACGGGAGACACACGGCGGGUGCUAACGUCCGUCGUGAAGAGGGAAACAACCCAGACCGCCAGCUAAGGUCCCAAAGUCAUGGUUAAGUGGGAAACGAUGUGGGAAGGCCCAGACAGCCAGGAUGUUGGCUUAGAAGCAGCCAUCAUUUAAAGAAAGCGUAAUAGCUCACUGGUCGAGUCGGCCUGCGCGGAAGAUGUAACGGGGCUAAACCAUGCACCGAAGCUGCGGCAGCGACGCUGAUGCGUUGUUGGGUAGGGGAGCGUUCUGUAAGCCUGUGAAGGUGUGCUGUGAGGCAUGCUGGAGGUAUCAGAAGUGCGAAUGCUGACAUAAGUAACGAUAAAGCGGGUGAAAAGCCCGCUCGCCGGAAGACCAAGGGUUCCUGUCCAACGUUAAUCGGGGCAGGGUGAGUCGACCCCUAAGGCGAGGCCGAAAGGCGUAGUCGAUGGGAAACAGGUUAAUAUUCCUGUACUUGGUGUUACUGCGAAGGGGGGACGGAGAAGGCUAUGUUGGCCGGGCGACGGUUGUCCCGGUUUAAGCGUGUAGGCUGGUUUUCCAGGCAAAUCCGGAAAAUCAAGGCUGAGGCGUGAUGACGAGGCACU